CGAGGGAUUUGUGCCUGGGGCUACAACGCUAACUUUCUAAAUAAAUGCCGUGCUGUAGAGAAUAACCGAGCUCGCCGAUUUCUGCCUUUUGCAGUCAGUAGCUCGGUACGAUCUGCGUCUCCUCUCCUCCUCCUUCCCUCCAUUUUAUUUCUCCUCCGUUUCUUUUUCAGCAGGCUCAACUCUCUCCUGCUGAACUUACUGCGAACAAAAGGCUCCGUUCCAGAUCCAGCCCGGAGUUGCCGUCAGAAACUUCACUGCGAGCGCUGUCUGUCGCGCUCCCUCCCUCGCUUGCUCGCUCCCUCCCUGGCUCGACCUGUACAAAUUGCAGUUAAAAACAUAACUAGAGGAGCUGCUGUGACAGGACAGCCCAUGUCCAGCACUGAGAUCCAGCUGGAGAGCUACAGCACCUUAUUAUCCUGGAGACCGCGGGAGCAUCCCGACCCAUUGCUCAACGUGUUGUGUCUAGACACGUUCAGGUGGUUGUGGUUCUCCCCAUUCAACCACCCCGAGGGAGUUCCUGGUCCACUGCCCACUGCCUUCACUUUGGCAGGAGUGGGAACUGGACUUUCUUGGAUGUCUGUGUGUGUGCAGCUAUUGUCUUGGUGCGCUGCCAACUGUUUCCAGAGGGACACAACCAGCAGAGAGGAAAUGACAAUCUUUAGUAGUUUUUAAAGGCUAAUUCUAAAUGGAAUUUCUAGGGACAGGGAAGAGGCGCUUUGUUGACCCACGGGCCAUCUCCUCACUGAACCCCCAGAGCCGCCGACGAGCAACGCAGCCAUGCGCCCUCUCCGCUUUCCUCCAAAGGUGGGCUGCGGCUCCUGUGCCUCUGCUGCCCCCGGAGGUGCCCCGGGAAGGUAAGGGAGGCCGCUCCGAGCGAGGCCACAGCUCCUGACCCCUGCCCCGAGCCGGGCGGCCCAGCCGGAGUCGCGUCGCCGCCCGCUGCCCCAGCGCCGCCCGCUCCCCGGCCCCGGUUCCGCCG
rnacentral:lncRNA from 7 species